rnacentral:rRNA from 1 species
GACGAACGCUGGCGGCGUGCUUAACACAUGCAAGUCGAACGAAGUGGCGAACGGGUGAGUAACGCGUAAUCAACCUGCCCUUCAGGGGGGGAUAACAGUUGGAAACGACUGCUAAUACCGCAUACUGAAGGAGGGGAUUGCGGCGGAUUGGCUAGCUGGAGGGGUAACGGCCCACCAAGGCGAUGAUCAGUAGCCGGUCUGAGGGGAUGGACGGGCACAUUGGGACUUGGACACGGGCCAGACUUCGACGGGAGGCAGCAGUGGGGAAUCUUCCGGAAUGGAGGAAAGUCUGACGGAGCAACGCCGCGGGGGUGAUGGCGGCCUUCGGGUUGUAAAGCUCUGUUAAUCGGGACGCGGUACCGGAAUAGAAAGCCACGGCUAACUACGUGCCAGCAGCCGCGGUAAUAC